UUUGUUUUUUAAAUCAAGAUUAUAGAUUUUGGGGAGGUGACUCAGGAGUUAAGAGCAUUUGCAACUCUCCAAGGAGGCUUGGAUUCAGUUCCUAGUACCCACAUGGUGGCUCACAAUCAUCUAUAACUUGAGUUUCAGGAAAUCCAAUACUCUCUUCUGACCUCUACAUAAACCAGGCAUGCACAUGAUGCACAUAAAUAUUGUGCAGGCAAACACCGUCCCCCAGACACUCAAAAUACAUAAAAUAAAAAUAAGUAUUUUUUAAAAGUUGGAAUUUGGUAUGAUUAGCUUUAUAGCUUUAGCUAUUUAUAUUAGUUUUAUGGCAACUUGACACUACCCAGAGUCAUUUUGGAAGAGGGAACCUCAGUUGAGAAAAAUCCUCCACCAUAUUGAUCUAUGAGCAAGCCAGUAAGCAGCACUCCUUCAUGGCCUCUGCAUCAGCUCCUGCUUCCAGGUUCCUGCCCUGGUUGAGUUCCUGCCUUGACUUUCCCUCAGUGAUAGAGUGUUCUUGGGAGUGUAGAUGAAGUAAACCCUCGCCUCCUAAACUGCCCUUGGUCAUGAUCUUUUAUCAUAGCAAUGGAACCCCUACUUAAGACAAUUAUCUUUGAAGCACAUAUUUUGACAUUUAGGCAUAUCAAUAAAUGAUUGAUGGUUAGUUUCUUAAAAUGCCCCUUGACCACAAAGACAGUGAAUUUUCUCCCUUGCUCCCUAGCAUAGAUUAUAGGUCUGAGCCAUCAGAUCUGGCUUGAGGUUCAAAGCUUGUGACCACCUGUUCCAAGGACAAAUGAGCUGCCUAGAACUCUUCCACUGGCCUGCCUGUAGCCGGGAAUGGUGGAGUUCCCUGUGACUGUGGGAUUCUAUAUGAGCUACUGAUGAGACAUAAGCAAGUAAGGAAAGUUGAUCUUGGGAUCAACACUCAUCAAGAAUAAGAUGGGUCCCCCACUCUCUAGCUGUGCUUCCAGACAGGUUUGCUUCAGUGUGGCUUCAGCAAAGCCUUCCUAGUGGUCUACAGUAGAGAAUGCAAGAGUCCAUCCCUAGCCUGAACACUGCACACAGACACCAAUUAUGCUAAAAUAUUUAAUUUCAUUCCAUAAAUAAUUAAGCCUAAAUAAUAAUACCUAGAUAUAACUUGGAACUUGUGACAAUCUACCUGCCUCUGUCUCUGUGUACCAGGAUUAUAGGCCUGGGCACACAUUCUUCUUCAGGACUGAUUAUAAUACAUUUUGUAUAUUGAUUUAAAAAAAUGAUGCUUAGGUAGUUAUGGCCUGUGAGUAAUUCUAUAAAGUAGACUAAGUGGAUAUCAUCAGUCUAUACUCUAAGACAUUCCUUUAAUUUUUUUAAAUUUUUUUUUAAAGUUCUACUUUUUAAAGAUUCCUAGAGAGCCAGAUGGGUGAUGAAAAGCCAGGUUUCACAUGUAACACUAAUAUUGGGGGAAAAAAAACCUGACGCUAGAAAUUAUUUAGUUAUUCUGAAAGCUGUCACUUCUUGAAAGCAGAGUCAGAAUUAGAAAAGAAUUAACAGUGUAUCGUUGUGUUCUCACAUUUCCAAUGUGGCUGGUGAAUCAUGAAGCAAAAAUUUCCUCAAAACUGGAGCCCCAGAGUCUUAGUCUGAGCCCAUCCUCCUGCCUGAGAAUCUCCAAAUUGCCUAGUGAAGGAAAAGCUAUGUCCAUGGUCCCACCUGUUCCAAAGUCCCUUUGGAAAUCUAGGCAGAAGUAGGUUUGCUAGAGUCUUACUUAUGACAACCUGGGAAACAAAGAAGGCUCUUCAUACAAGGGUGUGUAUCCACACAAGAGGCAGCAUCCUGAAGGAAACCUUCAGGAGCCUCCGAUCCUGCAGUUAGCUGACUGUUUCCUGCCCUCCUUGGUCCAACUCGUUAUGGCCCCAGGUGUUCCUUCUUGCUGCUGAACUGCUGUCUCUACCAGCUGAGCCCACUCCUGUGGUCUGCACUCACUGCCCUGGCUGCAGGUUGAACAGGGUCAGGCUACUUCUCAGAUGCUUCCCACCAGCCGCAGUGAACUCCAUUUUGACAUGAAGCCAUUUAAAUGGAAAUCCAGUUUUACAAAGCUCAAGUGACUGGUAAUGAAGAUGUGAAUGAUGCUUAUGAGGUUUUUAUUUAAUUUUAAAUCAAUUGUGUAUUCUAAUUCAUUAAUAAAGGGGAAAGGAAAGAAUACAGGAAAAAAAAAAAAAAAAA
rnacentral:lncRNA from 1 species